ACUUUACAAUGCCGGCAACGGCGAUAAGGGGACCUCGAGUGCCAGGUUACAAAUCUGGCUGUCGUGAUGCCUAAAAAGCAUUGCAUAGCAAGGGCCGGGCAAGACCGGUGCCAGCCGCCGCGGUAACACCGGCGGCUCGAGUGGUAACCGUUAUUAUUGGGUCUAAAGGGUCUGUAGCCGGCCGGAUAAGUCUCUUGAGAAAUCCAGCAGCUCAACUGUUGGGCUUUCAGGAGAUACUGUUCGGCUCGAGGCCGGGAGAGGUGAGAGGUACUUCAGGGGUAGGGGUGAAAUCUUGUAAUCCUUGAAGGACCACCAGUGGCGAAGGCGUCUCACCAGAACGGACCUGACGGCAAGGGACGAAAGCUAGGGGCACGAACCGGAUUAGAUACCCGGGUAGUCCUAGCCGUAAACGAUACUCGCUAGGUGUCGGCCACGGUGCGACCGUUGUCGGUGCCGUAGGGAAGCCGUGAAGCGAGCC
rnacentral:rRNA from 1 species